GGGAGUGCAUGGAGCCUGGUGGCUCCCUCAGUCUUCAAAACUGAUGCGACCUGACAUCGUCGGGUUGGGUGGGUUCGAUUCCCAUGCGCUCCCGCCA
rnacentral:tRNA from 2 species